UUACAACCGUUGCAGCGCGAGCACAGGGACUGAGAGGAACAGCGCACCUAUCUGAGGGACUGAAACAAAUAUGAGCACAGAAGUUUUUCAAUGGACUAUUCAAGAUGUGACUGGUUGACUGGAAAAAGUUUCCACAAAUUUAUCCUAAUUUCCUAAUUAUUUCAAGAGAAUGAAAUUGAUGGGGAUACGUUCAUUGACCUAACUGAGAAUAUGAGCUAAAUAUUUUCCUAAAAUAAAGGAUCAAGUUAAAUUCAUUAGACUACACAGAAACAAAUAAAGACUGAAAUGCCUACCAAGACUACACACAUCAGUCAUGAGUAUCCAACAAGUUACCAAUUAAACAAGGUGUGAUUAUCCCUUGUCACCAGUUCUUGAGAGAUUGGUAAGAGAAUGGAACCACAAGAUUUCAUCAAAAGUCCAACAGAUAACCAGUGCAGAGACUGAGGAAAACCAAGACAUGUACAGCCUAGAAAGAGUCUGAGCAGGGGAAGAUGAUUACAGCAUUGGGGUGCACUUUGAAAAAGUGAAAACAAGAAUGCUUGAAAAAACAGCAAAUAUUAAACUUUUUAGAGGACUGCAUGGCAUAGACAAUGACUGAGAGGACUAAAUCCCUAUCCAGCCCUUAAAGUCCCUUCAGUUCUUGCAUUUGAGGUCCAAAGCAUACUUGACACAGACAUUGAAAGAAACAUGCUGAAGAAUCUAGGCCUGGUGGCACAGAAAGUGAUUAAUGAGUGCCACAGAAGACAUUUUGGAGUGCAUAUCUGUACCGAACUGGAUGAAGCAAAACAAGCCUACAUUGAUUUGGCACAAAGAGGUCUCUCAAUGGCUGCUGCUGCUACCAUGUUGCUUCCAUUUCUUUUCAAGGAGAGCCCAAGAUUCCUUUAUGUCAUUAAUCAGGUACCAAAUACACCCAACCCAGUUCUAUAUAUAUAAAAGGAAGCCCUUUGGGUGCAGAUUCAAUCCUGAAGAUAAUGAUGGAAGGUGAGAAAGUCUUUGAGAUAGAAGAUGUCACUAUAGCGCUUGUGCAGUCUACUUCAUCUUCAGCAUUGAAACCUUAAUUUUUAAAUUAAUGUAUGUUUAUGUAAAUCCAUAAAGUGAAAAGUAAAUACAUGAUGUGGAUGAAUCAACAUAAGAUAUAUUUUAAAUAUCUAUAUCUAUAUCAAUAUAUUGAAUAUACUGUAAAAAAUAUGUAUAUGUAUGUAUGUAAUGAAACAAAACAAAAAUGCCACCUGCAGUUAUUAAAAUGGCCAAUUUCUUGUUUAAAUGAAUGUAUGUUUAUGUAAUGGCAUAGUGUAGAAUGUAAAUACAUGAUGUGGAGGAAUCAACAUUAUUUUUAAUUAUAUUUAAAUUAUACCACUGGGCUGUUGAAUGCUUUAUUCUGAUUGAUAGAGAAAUAUUCCAUGGGUAUGCAUUAUUUUCGAUAACUGCACACCUUACUUGUCAAAUGUCUUUAAAAUAGCCACCAGAGCAAUGUUUGUGUUAAUCGUGAUAUAAGCAGAAUACUUGACUCCGGUCCUUUGAAUUAUCUGAAAAUAAUGCACAACCGAGGUGUAACGGUAACCCGCUUUGCAUCGUGCCACAUAACCACCUUGGGUGUGCAUUAUUUUCUUAUAAUUCAAUGGCCUGUUGUCAAUUAUUCCUUACAAUGAUAUAUUCAGUUACAUUCUGUUAAAUGUUGAAUGAAUUUGUUAAUGUUUGUUUAAAUUGCUGUCAUGUUUGCAAUAAACAUUUAAUAAAGUA